rnacentral:rRNA from 1 species
UACAAGGAAGACUAGUGUUAUUCAUCUUAAUUAGGUUUAAAGGGUACCUAGACAGUAUUUCUAGCCUCAAAAGGGAACAGACUUACUAGAGUUUUAUGGGAGAGGAAAAUAUUAGAACCAUUGGAGUAGAGAUAAAAUGUUUUGAUACUAAUGGGAUCGGAUAGCGGCGAAGGCAAACCUCUAUGUAAUAACUGACGUUGAGGGACGAAGGCUUGGGAGCGAAUAGG